UAGCCAGAGCUUCAUGUAUUGACCACAAAACCACCACAGUUGGCAAUCAAGGUAAAGCCUACUUACUAACAGAUAUCCAUAAAUUCUCUACCACAACCCACAUCAUGGCACAGAAGACCUCCAUGAUCUGACCCCUGUAUGCUUCUCUACCUUCAUCUCCAAAGAUUGCUUCCAUUUUAGAUUUGCCUGAAAACUUUAAUAUGUUUCUUUCUCAUGCUGCACCACUGAACAUGCUAUUUCCUCUCUGUGGUAUAUUCUUCUGGUAACUUUUACCCAACAAAUUAAUGCAUAUGCAUCCCUUAUUUAAGUUCAACUGUUCAUAUAGCCAUUGUCACUUUGCAGACAGAAUUAAGCCCUUGCUUCUUGGUUCUCCAUAGUGCUGUACUCAUGCCUCUAUUUUAGGAUUUCUUGAAAAGGUGAUAGUUUGUCCACUGAAUUAUUUAUGCACCUUUGUCAAAAAGAAGUUGUUCUAAAUAAUUAGUGGUGAUGACUGCAUACUCUGAAUAUACUGAAAACACCUAAUUAUAUACCUAAAAGGCUAAAUUUUAUGGUAUGUAAGUUAUUUAUCAAUAAAGCUGUUAUAAAAAGUUCAUAUAAAAUCACGUGUGCAAAUUGCUGUGAGUCUAUUUCUGAGUUUUCUAUUCCAUUAUAUUGAUCAAUGUGUCUUU
rnacentral:lncRNA from 10 species